CUCUGUUCACGGAAAGGGCCUGGGAGCUGCAACACCUCAACAGCAACAAGCACACCUGCUACCUAGAACUUGGUUUCUAAAAACCAUCCUCCUCUAAAAGGAAACAGAGCUCUUUGAAGAAACGUGUGCAGUGAAGUGCUCCAGAGGCCCCAGCAUGCUACAUUACAG
ensembl:lncRNA LINC01409 long intergenic non-protein coding RNA 1409